UAUGAAUUAUUAUAAGGAAAGACAACCUUCCUUUUCUCCCUUCUUCUACCAAGGUGCCGUAUCCCUCUUCUUUUCCUCAACCUCCAUGUUUGUCGAUCCAAGCUCCAAGAAUCACUCCAAAAAAAUCACACCUAUAUUCAUCCAGAAACGUAUAUUAAGGUUUGAGUGGCAGUGUAGAGUGAACAAGCAAAGACUUCUAUUUCAUUAAGCGUAUCAGGUUGAGCUAAUGUGGUGAUGGUGCUGCAAUGAGCGGAGUCUCCAGGGUUGUUAAUAAAUAGUUAACCUGUCUAGAAUAUGUCUUCAUACAUAUGUCUAGCUACUUUCCGCUGCAAGAUGUUGUUGAUGUUAUAGUAUGUUAUGUCAUACUUUGAGUCUUAAUAGAAUGGUUUCAUAUGAUGUAUAACUUGAUUAAUGAUAUUAAUUAAGUUUUAUGCUGUUUUUCA